GCCGCCAGGGUUUGAGGAUGGGGGAGUAGCUACAGGAAGCGACCCCGCGAUGGCAAGGUAUAUUUUUGUGGAAUGAAAAGGAAGUAUUAGAAAUGAGCUGAAGACCAUUCACAGUGUAUAUGGCCAUUUUAGUGGGCACAGAGCAGGAUUUUUACAGUUUACUUGGAGUAUCCAAAACUGCAAGCAGUAGAGAAAUAAGACAAGCUUUCAAGAAAUUGGCAUUGAAGUUACAUCCUGAUAAAAACCCGAAUAACCCAAAUGCACAUGGCGAUUUUUUAAAAAUAAAUAGAGCAUAUGAAGUACUCAAAGAUGAAGAUCUACGGAAAAAGUAUGACAAAUAUGGAGAAAAGGGACUUGAGGAUAAUCAAGGUGGCCAGUAUGAAAGCUGGAACUAUUAUCGUUAUGAUUUUGGUAUUUAUGAUGAUGAUCCUGAAAUCAUAACAUUGGAAAGAAGAGAAUUUGAUGCUGCUGUUAAUUCUGGAGAACUGUGGUUUGUAAAUUUUUACUCCCCAGGCUGUUCACACUGCCAUGAUUUAGCUCCCACA
rnacentral:sRNA from 1 species